UGGGGAAUAUUGGACAAUGGACCGAGAGUCUGAUCCAGCAAUUCUGUGUGCACGAUGAAGUUUUUCGGAAUGUAAAGUGCUUUCAGUUGGGAAGAAAGAAAUGACGGUACCAACAGAAGAAGUGACGGCUAAAUACGUGCCAGCAGCCGCGGUGAUACGUAUGUCACGAGCGUUAUCCGGAUUUAUUGGGCGUAAAGCGCGUCUAGGUGGUUAUAUAAGUCUGAUGUGAAAAUGCAGGGCUCAACUCUGUAUUGCGUUGGAAACUGUAUAACUAGAGUACUGGAGAGGUAAGCGGAACUACAAGUGUAGAGGUGAAAUUCGUAGAUAUUUGUAGGAAUGCCGAUGGGGAAGCCAGCUUACUGGACAGAUACUGACGCUGAAGCGCGAAAGCGUGGGUAGCAAACAGGAUUAGAUACCCUGGUAGUCCACGCUGUAAACGAUGAUUACUAGGUGUUGGGGGUCGAACCUCAGCGCCCAAGCAAACGCGAUAAGUAAUCCGCCUGGGGAGUANNGUACGCAAGUAUG
rnacentral:rRNA from 1 species